AAGCUUAGGAUCAACUAAACCUAGGGCCUUCAAAGCCCUUAAUAGAAGUGAAACUCUUCUAGCUUCUG
rnacentral:tRNA from 1 species